UACGUAGGGUGCAAGCGUUGUCCGGAAUUAUUGGGCGUAAAGAGCUCGUAGGCGGUUUGUCGCGUCGGCUGUGAAAGCCCGGGGCUCAACCCCGGGCCUGCAGCCGAUACGGGCAGACUAGAGUUCGGCAGGGGAGACUGGAAUUCCUGGUGUAGCGGUGAAAUGCGCAGAUAUCAGGAGGAACACCGGUGGCGAAGGCGGGUCUCUGGGCCGAUACUGACGCUGAGGAGCGAAAGGCGUGGGGAGCGAACAGG
rnacentral:rRNA from 1 species